GACGAACGCUGGCGGCGGGCUUAACACAUGCAAGUCGAACGGAAAGGCCCUGCUUUUGUGGGGUGCUCGAGUGGCGAACGGGUGAGUAACACGUGAGUAACAUGCCCUCGACUUUGGGAUAACUUCAGGAAACAGGGGCAAAUACCGGCUAGGAGCUCCUGCUGCCUGGUGGGGGUUGGAAAGUUUCGGCGGGUGGGGAUGGACGCGCGGCUGAUCAGAUGGUGGGGGGGGUAGUGGCUUACCAAGGCUUUGCCGGGUAGCCGGCCUGAGAGGGUGACCGGCCACCUUGCGACUGAGGUACGGCCCAGACUCCUACGGGAGGCAGCAGGGGGGAAUAUUGCGCAACGGGCGGAAGCCUAUUGCAGCGACCCCGCGUGCGUGAAGACGGCCUUCGGGUUGUAAACCGCGUUCGCCUGUGACGAAGCGUGAGUGACGGUAAUGGGUAAAGAAGCACCGGCUAACUACGUG
rnacentral:rRNA from 1 species